UGGAUUGCACGUCUAAGCAGUAAGGCUGAGUAUUAGGCAAAUCCGGUACUCGUUAAGGCUGAGCUGUGAUGGGGAGAAGACAUUGUGUCUUCGAGUCGUUGAUUUCACACUGCCGAGAAAAGCCUCUAGAUAGAAAAUAGGUGCCCGUACCGCAAACCGACACAGGUAGUCAAGAUGAGAAUUCUAAGGUGAGCGAGCGAACUCUCGUUAAGGAACUCGGCAAAAUGACCCCGUAACUUCGGGAGAAGGGGUGCUCUUUAGGGUUAACG
rnacentral:rRNA from 1 species